rnacentral:rRNA from 1 species
AGAGUUUGAUCCUGGCUCAGGAUGAACGCUAGCUACAGGCUUAACACAUGCAAGUCGAGGGGCAGCAUGGUCUUAGCUUGCUAAGGCCGAUGGCGACCGGCGCACGGGUGAGUAACACGUAUCCAACCUGCCGUCUACUCUUGGACAGCCUUCUGAAAGGAAGAUUAAUACAAGAUGGCAUCAUGAGUCCGCAUGUUCACAUGAUUAAAGGUAUUCCGGUAGACGAUGGGGAUGCGUUCCAUUAGAUAGUAGGCGGGGUAACGGCCCACCUAGUCUUCGAUGGAUAGGGGUUCUGAGAGGAAGGUCCCCCACAUUGGAACUGAGACACGGUCCAAACUCCUACGGGAGGCAGCAGUGAGGAAUAUUGGUCAAUGGGCGAGAGCCUGAACCAGCCAAGUAGCGUGAAGGAUGACUGCCCUAUGGGUUGUAAACUUCUUUUAUAAAGGAAUAAAGUCGGGUAUGUAUACCCGUUUGCAUGUACUUUAUGAAUAAGGAUCGGCUAACUCCGUGCCAGCAGCCGCGGUAAUACGGAGGAUCCGAGCGUUAUCCGGAUUUAUUGGGUUUAAAGGGAGCGUAGGCGGACGCUUAAGUCAGUUGUGAAAGUUUGCGGCUCAACCGUAAAAUUGCAGUUGAUACUGGGUGUCUUGAGUACAGUAGAGGCAGGCGGAAUUCGUGGUGUAGCGGUGAAAUGCUUAGAUAUCACGAAGAACUCCGAUUGCGAAGGCAGCCUGCUGGACUGUAACUGACGCUGAUGCUCGAAAGUGUGGGUAUCAAACAGGAUUAGAUACCCUGGUAGUCCACACAGUAAACGAUGAAUACUCGCUGUUUGCGAUAUACAGUAAGCGGCCAAGCGAAAGCGUUAAGUAUUCCACCUGGGGAGUACGCCGGCAACGGUGAAACUCAAAGGAAUUGACGGGGGCCCGCACAAGCGGAGGAACAUGUGGUUUAA